rnacentral:rRNA from 1 species
AUUAUCAGUCAUGCAUAGCAUAUCAAUAAGCGGAGGAAAAGAAACUAACAAGGAUUCCCUUAGUAACGGCGAGUGAAGCGGGAAGAGCUCAAAUUUGAAAUCUUCAAGGUUUUACCUUGACGAAUUGUAGUUUAAAGAAGUGUUUUCUGUUGAAGUUUUGGUAAAAGUUCUUUGGAAUAGGACAUCAUAGAGGGUGAGAAUCCCGUAUUUGGCCAUUACUUUCAGCUUUGUGAUACACUUUCAAAGAGUCGGAUUGUUUGGGAAUGCAGUCCAAAAUGGGUGGUAAAUUUCAUCUAAAGCUAAAUAUUGGCGAGAGACCGAUAGCGAACAAGUACCGUGAGGGAAAGAUGAAAAGAACUUUGAAAAGAGAGUUAAACAGUACGUGAAAUUGUCAAAAGGGAAGCGUUUGACACCAGUGUUGUUUUCUCGAAAAUCAAUUAAAAAGAGUUGGAUUUUGUGUUGUAUUGACUUUAUCAGCUUUCUUCACCUCUUUUCCAGCUUUUUUUAAUGCACUUUUCGUUUAACAAGUCAACAUCAGUUUCUUUUGUUGUAAAAAGGUCAUUGGAAGGUGGCUUUCUCUUCGGAGAAAGUGUUUAUAGCCUUUGACUCAUGCAAUCGGAGAGACUGAGGUCUGCAGCGUAGAUCCUUCGGGGUUAGAUACAUUUGUGCUAAGUUAUAGCUUUUCAUAGACAACUUGUUGACUAUGUUUAGUCUUGUAGCUUACUCGCUUAUGCUAUUUUACCUACGCUUAGGAUGUUGAACUCUAUCACACACAG